rnacentral:rRNA from 1 species
AGAUUGAACGCUGGCGGCAUGCCUUACACAUGCAAGUCGAUCGGUAGAGUAGCAAUACUCGAGAGUGGCGAACGGGUGAGUAAUAUAUCGGAACGUGCCCAGUCGUGGGGGAUAACGUAGAGAAAUUUACGCUAAUACCGCAUACGAUCUACGGAUGAAAGCGGGGGACUCGCAAGAGCCUCGCGCGAUUGGAGCGGCUGAUAUCAGAUUAGGUUGUUGGUGAGGUAGAAGCUCACCAAGCCGACGAUCUGUAGCUGGUUGAGAGAACGACCAGCCACACUGGGACUGAGACACGGCCCAGACUCCUACGGGAGCAGCAGGUGGGAAUUUGGACAAGUGGGCGAAAGCCUGAU